rnacentral:rRNA from 1 species
CAGCAGCCACGGGAAUACGAAGGGUGCAAGCGUUACUCGGAGUUACUGGGCGUAAAGCGUGUGCAGGUGGUUGUUUAAGUCUGUCGUGAAAGCCCUGGGCUCAACCUGGGAAUUGCGAUGGAUACUGGGCGACUAGAGUGCGGUAGAGGAUAGUGGAAUUUCCGGUGUAGCAGUGAAAUGCGUAGAGAUCGGAAGGAACAUCUGUGGCGAAGGCGACUAUCUGGGCCAACACUGACACUGAGGCACGAAAGCGUGGGGAGCAAACAGGAUUAGAGACCCCCGUAGUCCCUGUCUCUUAUAC